GCAAGUCGAACGAGGUGAUUGAAAGCUUGCUUUGAGAACCGAGUGGCAAACGGGUGAGUAACGCGUAGACAACCUGCCGCAAAGAUGGGGACAACAGUCCGAAAGGACUGCUAAUACCGAAUGUUGUCAGAUUCCCGCAUGGGAGACUGAUUAAAGAUGGCCUCUACUUGUAAGCUAUCGCUUUGCGAUGGGUCUGCGUCUGAUUAGCUAGUUGGUGGGGUAACGGCCUACCAAGGCGACGAUCAGUAGCCGGUCUGAGAGGAUGAACGGCCACAUUGGAACUGAGACACGGUCCAGACUCCUACGGGAGGCAGCAGUGGGGAAUCUUCCGCAAUGGGCGAAAGCCUGACGGAGCAACGCCGCGUGAGUGAAGAAGGGUUUCGGCUCGUAAAGCUCUGUUGACGGGGACGAAUGUGCGAAAUGCGAAUAGUUUUUUGCAAUGACGGUACCCGUCGAGGAAGCCACGGCUAACUACGUGCCAGCCGCGGC
rnacentral:rRNA from 1 species